rnacentral:misc_RNA from 1 species
AAGUCGUAACAAGGUUUCCGUAGGUGAACCUGCGGAAGGAUCAUUAAUGAAUUUUUGAAAUGGGGUUGUAGCUGGCUUUUAAUCGAGCAUGUGCAUGCCCUAUUCAUCCAUUUCUAUAUACACCUGUGCACCUUUUGUAGGUCGGUCGUUACGGGAAAAGCCUUUCGGUUUUUUCUUACACUUCCUUCCUAUGUUUUUAUUAUAAACUCUGUGAAUGUCUAUGAAUGUCUUUGCGUAAAUAAACGCAUCAUAAUAUAACUUUCAGCAACGGAUCUCUUGGCUCUC